rnacentral:rRNA from 1 species
GAGGCGAACCGGGGGAACUGAAACAUCUAAGUACCCCGAGGAAAAGAAAUCAACCGAGAUUCCGAAAGUAGCGGCGAGCGAAAUUGGACUAGCCCUUAAGCUUUACACGCGUUAGACGAACGGUCUGGAAAGUCCGACGAUACAGGGUGAUAGUCCCGUAGUUGACGACGUGUGUUCAGUGAAAUCGAGUAGGGCGGGACACGUGAUAUCCUGUCUGAAUAUGGGGGGACCAUCCUCCAAGGCUAAAUACUACUGACUGACCGAUAGUGAACCAGUACCGUGAGGGAAAGGCGAAAAGAACCCCUGUGAGGGGAGUGAAAUAGAACCUGAAACCGUGUACGUACAAGCAGUAGGAGCAGGCUUUGUCCUGUGACUGCGUACCUUUUGUAUAAUGGGUCAGCGACUUAUAUUCAGUGGCAAGGUUAACCAUCUAGGGGAGCCGUAGGGAAACCGAGUCUUAACUGGGCGUUCAGUCUCUGGAUAUAGACCCGAAACCAGGUGAUCUAGCCAUGGGCAGGUUGAAGGUUGAGUAACAUCAACUGGAGGACCGAACCGACUAAUGUUGAAAAAUUAGCGGAUGACUUGUGGCUAGGGGUGAAAGGCCAAUCAAACCUGGAGAUAGCUGGUUCUCCCCGAAAGCUAUUUAGGUAGCGCCUCGGACGAAUACUACUGGGGGUAGAGCACUGUUAAGGCUAGGGGGUCAUCCCGACUUACCAACCCUUUGCAAACUCCGAAUACCAGUAAGUACUAUCCGGGAGACACACGGCGGGUGCUAACGUCCGUCGUGGAGAGGGAAACAACCCAGACCGCCAGCUAAGGUCCCAAAUUACUACUAAGUGGGAAACGAUGUGGGAAGGCUCAGACAGCCAGGAUGUUGGCUUAGAAGCAGCCAUCAUUUAAAGAAAGCGUAAUAGCUCACUGGUCGAGUCGGCCUGCGCGGAAGAUGUAACGGGGCUAAGUAGUAAACCGAAGCUGCGGCAAUACUCUUUGAGUAUUGGGUAGGGGAGCGUUCUGUAAGCGGUUGAAGGUGUGUGGUAACGCAUGCUGGACGUAUCAGAAGUGCGAAUGCUGACAUGAGUAACGAUAAAGGGGGUGAAAAACCUCCUCGCCGGAAGACCAAGGGUUCCUGUCCAACGUUAAUCGGGGCAGGGUAAGUCGACCCCUAAGGCGAGGCCGAAAGGCGUAGUCGAUGGGAAACGGGUUAAUAUUCCCGUACUUCUUACAAUUGCGAUGGGGGGACGGAGAAGGCUAGGUGGGCCUGGCGACGGUUGUCCAGGUUCAAGUGCGUAGGCUUAAGAGUUAGGUAAAUCCGGCUCUUUCUAAGGCUGAGACACGACGUCGAGCACCUACGGGUGUGAAGUCAUUGAUGCCAUGCUUCCAGGAAAAGCCUCUAAGCUUCAGAUUGUAAGGAAUCGUACCCCAAACCGACACAGGUGGUCGGGUAGAGAAUACCAAGGCGCUUGAGAGAACUCGGGUGAAGGAACUAGGCAAAAUGGUACCGUAACUUCGGGAGAAGGUACGCUCUCGACGGUGAAGUCCCUCGCGGAUGGAGCUGACGAGAGUCGCAGAUACCAGGUGGCUGCAACUGUUUAUUAAAAACACAGCACUGUGCAAAAUCGUAAGAUGACGUAUACGGUGUGACGCCUGCCCGGUGCCGGAAGGUUAAUUGAUGGGGUUAGACUUCGGUCGAAGCUCUUGAUCGAAGCCCCGGUAAACGGCGGCCGUAACUAUAACGGUCCUAAGGUAGCGAAAUUCCUUGUCGGGUAAGUUCCGACCUGCACGAAUGGCGUAAUGAUGGCCACGCUGUCUCCACCCGAGACUCAGUGAAAUUGAAAUCGCUGUGAAGAUGCAGUGUACCCGCGGCUAGACGGAAAGACCCCGUGAACCUUUACUACAGCUUGGCACUGAACAUUGACCCUACAUGUGUAGGAUAGGUGGGAGGCUUUGAAGCACGUACGCCAGUAUGUGUGGAGCCGUCCUUGAAAUACCACCCUUGUAGUGUUGAUGUUCUAACGUCGACCCCUAAUCGGGGUUGCGGACAGUGCCUGGUGGGUAGUUUGACUGGGGCGNUAUCGGGGUUACGGACAGUGCCUGGUGGGUAGUUUGACUGGGGCGGUCUCCUCCCAAAGAGUAACGGAGGAGCACGAAGGUGGGCUAAUCACGGUUGGACAUCGUGAGGUUAGUGCAAUGGCAUAAGCCCGCUUGACUGCGAGAAUGACAAUUCGAGCAGGUGCGAAAGCAGGUCAUAGUGAUCCGGUGGUUCUGAAUGGAAGGGCCAUNGGUCUCCUCCCAAAGAGUAACGGAGGAGCACGAAGGUGGGCUAAUCACGGUUGGACAUCGUGAGGUUAGUGCAAUGGCAUAAGCCCGCUUGACUGCGAGAAUGACAAUUCGAGCAGGUGCGAAAGCAGGUCAUAGUGAUCCGGUGGUUCUGAAUGGAAGGGCCAUCGCUCAACGGAUAAAAGGUACUCCGGGGAUAACAGGCUGAUACCGCCCAAGAGUUCAUAUCGACGGCGGUGUUUGGCACCUCGAUGUCGGCUCAUCACAUCCUGGGGCUGAAGUCGGUCCCAAGGGUAUGGCUGUUCGCCAUUUAAAGUGGUACGCGAGCUGGGUUUAGAACGUCGUGAGACAGUUCGGUCCCUAUCUGCCGUGGGCGUUGGAAGAUUGAAGGGGGCUGCUCCUAGUACGAGAGGACCGGAGUGGACGAACCUCUGGUGUUCGGGUUGUGUCGCCAGACGCAUUGCCCGGUAGCUAAGUUCGGAAUCGAUAACCGCUGAAAGCAUCUAAGCGGGAAGCGAGCCCUGAGAUGAGUCUUCCCUGAUACUUUAAGUAUCCUAAAGGGUUGUCGGAGACUACGACGUUGAUAGGUCAGGUGUGUAAGUGCUGUGAGGCAUUGAGCUAACUGAUACUAAUUGCCCGUGAGGCUUAACCAU